rnacentral:rRNA from 1 species
UACGUAGGGGGCAAGCGUUGUCCGGAUUUAUUGGGCGUAAAGAGCGUGUAGGCGGCUUUGCAAGUCCGUUGUGAAAACUCGAGGCUCAACCUCGAGACGCCGGUGGAAACUGCAAAGCUAGAGUCCGGAAGAGGAGAGUGGAAUCCUGGUGUAGCGGUGAAAUGCGCAGAUAUCAGGAGGAACACCGAUGGCGAAGGCAGGUCUCUGGGCAUUAACUGACGCUGAGGAGCGAAAGCAUGGGAGCGAACAGGAUUAGAA